ACUGUAAGCAGUCUGAUCAUCAAACCCCAGGAAACACUCGACUCUCUCUCUCUCUCUCUAACACACCCACACACACGCACGCAUACCCCCCACACCCACAUACACACACACUUCAGAUGUGUAGGACACUGUGUAUAGGCCUACAAGACAUUCCCCGGAAAAUGUGUCUUCUAGUUUAAACAAAACUCUCGAUUCUUUUAAGCAGCACUUUAAACAUUUUACAUCCUAAAGGGUUAGGUUUAGAAGGCAUGUAAUACGCGCGUUUCUUAUAAAACACCGUCUUUAAAACGUUUACCUCCUAAAGGGACCUAUUUAGAAGGGAUCUCUUGGGGAGCUCUUAAUUUUACUUCUCUAUGGAUGGCAAAAUGUGAAAGCAACAAGAGAGCGGAAAAAAAGGCUACAACAAAUCUGGUAGCAGACAUUCAGUUGGCUAUGGUGUAGAUUACACCAACUUGGGUGACCUCAAUGUUUAUGGGAAUAAACACACAUACCCCAUUAAGAAGCCCAUCUACGCGUCAACUGAUUUCAUAAAUGUAAAUAGAAAUAUCUUUAUCAUUGGACCUGCCAUAUUUUUUACAUGAGGAUAAUGAAUUUACAAAUUCAUGUGAUUUCAUUAUGUUAAAUAAUGGCUUGCUUUGAAUAAAAAAUAAAUAAAAAAAAGAUAAAUGCUUAUAUGGAAAUUUGGUCAGUUGGUAUGGAUGUAUGGAUGUAUUUAUGCAAUUACAUGCAAAUACAGUUGACUAGUAAUUGUAUUAAUAAUAGAAAUACCACUGUGUUUUCUUUUUUUUUUUUUUGGCUGUGACCAUUAAAGUGUUAAAUAAAAAG
ensembl:lncRNA